UAAACGACUCUCGGCAACGGAUAUCUCGGCUCACGCAUCGAUGAAGAACGUAGCAAAAUGCGAUACUUGGUGUGAAUUGCAGAAUCCCGUGAACCAUCGAGUUUUUGAACGCAAGUUGCGCCCGAAGCCAUUCGGCCGAGGGCACGUCUGCCUGGGCGUCACAC
rnacentral:rRNA from 11 species